AUGAGCUCUGUGCGGCCCCUGUGUAUCAACACAAGGACUCGCAAUGGGCACACUUGAGUUGAUUUGAGGAUUUUUCCAUGGUCGCAAACUCUUUGGUUUCCUCUGUAGUUGGUGACACUGAUACCAAUAAUGGACAGGCCCAGGUGGCAGAAGCAAUCAGCUGUGAUCACGUUCUCCACGGUUGCCUCUGUGGGUAGGAACUGGGAGACCGAUAGUGGACAUACUGGAGCUGAUUUAAGGAUUCUCCCAUAGUCUUAAGAUGAUGGUUGCUGCCGUAUGUUUGGUGCAUAGAAACCACUGU